rnacentral:lncRNA from 1 species
GCUAUGCUGUUGGCAAAUGCCUUCCAAGUUAAUCCAUCAAGUCUCUCCAGGGAGCCACUGCCAC